rnacentral:sRNA from 1 species
GCUGGGUGCAGUGGCUCACGCCUGUAAUUCCAGCAGCUGGGGAGGCUGAGACAGGAGAUUUUCAAGUUCAAAGCCAGCCUCAGUAAAAGCGAGGCUGCUAAGCAACUCAGUGAGACUCUGUCUCUA